GGGGAAAGUUCAACAUUUGGCAAAAUCAACUCAGGAUUUGCCAAAUUACACGCGGAAAAUAUCAUGGGAAUUUCACAUCUAUAAUCCCGAGUUGAAAUUCCAUGGUAAUAGGCGGAAUUGUACAAUUCCCAACAGAGAGGGAAUUUUCAUCUUCUGCCUGCAAUAACCUAGCUUCUGCCCGCCAAAAUUUUCAUCUUCUGCCCACCAAAAAUUUCAUCUUCUGCCUGCCAAAAUUUCAGGAAUAACCUAUCUUCUUCAAAGAGAACAAGCCUGCGCACCAUGGGUAUUCUCUUGAUGGCGUUCUGCUAAGUUUUCUGGUAAGAAAGACAGAGUGUAGAGACAUAUACAUACGCAAGGUCAAACUUUCUCACCUCCAUUCACCAAAUGCCUUUCUUCCUCAAGCGCCUCCGACUUUUCGAUGGCAGAAAAAGUAAACAAAAUAAAGCAGAGAAGAAGAAAAGACAAGCAAAAUAAUGACACUGAAGGAGAUGACAAAGCCUAUUUUCGAUGGAAUAUACAAAUGGAGCGUUCAUUAGCGGAUAUACUUAGAGAAGAACGUCAGAUCGGUCAUAAAGGAGAUGGUGGUUGGAAAGUAGUUGCUUAUAACACCGUUGCUGUCAUAUUGUCUGCACAAUUUGAUAUUGAAGUAAGUGCUGAUAACGUAAGAAAUCGUGUUAAAACCUAGAAAAGGUUUUAUGGUAUAGUCAAUGAUAUAUUAAGUCAGAAUGGAUUCAAUUGGGAUGUAACAAAGAAGAUGAUCAUUGUAGAUGAAGACAAUGUUUGGGAUGAGUAUGUGAAGUCUCAUGAAGGUGCUAAAACUUUUCGAUUUAAAGUGAUUGCUAACUAGGAUGAAAUAAUGAAUUUAUGUGGCAAAGAUAGAGCUACGGGAGAGGGUGCUGAAACAUGUGCAGAAGUUGCUGAGGUUAUGACUCCUAAGAGUGAUCCCAAUAAUAUUGUUGAUUUGGAAAGUGAUACUCAAGGUUUUGAGAGUUGUCAGGUUGAUGAUGUUUCACCCAGCUCUAGUUGUCCAAAGAGAAGAAAUCAAAAACCUUAUGAUAUUCCCCCACCAAAAAAAAGAGGUACAACUAAUGUUCUUGCUGAUUCAGUGGCUAAAAUGGCUUCAUCUUUGGAACACUUUAUCAAUUCUACUACACAAAAGCUUGAUCCAACAGAAGUAUAUAAUGAAGUCAUUGCAAUUCCAGAUCUUAGUCCAGAUGAACAACUGAAGGCAUGCUCUUGGUUUAUAGAAAAUGAGAAACAGUUUCUCAUGUUAAAGACAUUUCCAACUGAGAGAAAGAAGGGAAUGGUGUUUAUGUUUAUUUUACCAAAAGCGUAGACACAUUUUAUAUUUAGUUGACAUUUUUAAUUUUUGCUAUUUUGUUGAAACAUUGGUUGGG